CAGUCGCCACGGGAAUACGUAGGGUGCAAGCGUUAAUCGGAAUUACUGGGCGUAAAGCGUGCGCAGGCGGUCCGCUAAGACAGAUGUGAAAUCCCCGGGCUUAACCUGGGAACUGCAUUUGUGACUGGCGGGCUAGAGUAUGGCAGAGGGGGGUAGAAUUCCACGUGUAGCAGUGAAAUGCGUAGAGAUGUGGAGGAAUACCGAUGGCGAAGGCAGCCCCCUGGGCCAAUACUGACGCUCAUGCACGAAAGCGUGGGGAGCAAACAGGAUUAGAUACCCGAGUAGUCCCUGUCUCUUAUAU
rnacentral:rRNA from 1 species